AAAGUCUACUUCCGUUAUGGUUUCGCAGUACGACUGAAAGUGAGUAAAACCACUGGCAUAGAAGAGUUGCUGUCAUUCUAGAUCGUGCACUCACAAGGUAAUGUUAACUAAAACAUUAUGCAUGUUUGUUUACUCAGUUCUUUAUACUUUAUUAACGGACUAAAUAAGUUUCAUGUGGGUUGUGUUUUUUUGUUAGAGUAAAUUUACACAUCUAAAGCACUGCAGACUAGGAGAUAAUAUUUAGGAUUAAGGAAUUCGUCCAUGAAUGUUAUCUCGUGUAAAUAAUCUUUAUUAAUGAUACCUUAUUGUGUUUAAUUAGAUUCAAAUACAUACAGUACAAGUAAUUUAAUAAGAUGGUAACGUAAAAAGUAGACUGGCAAUGGCUGUCUGAUAUGUGCGAGCGAUAUACGGAUGCUAGAGACAGAGGACCAGUCUAAGUAAAAAGGCAAAAAUUCUAGUCGCAACGUGAUGGCAAAGUUCAAGAAUUUUGACAUCGCUUAUAACUAUGCCGACGGGUGAAACAGGUACAUUUUAUUUCCGUACGCCAUUUGCUUCAUUCAACAUUGUAAAUCGGCGUACUUCAUGAGGCAAGUACAUAUGUGCAACCGCUGUGUGUGUGAAUGCGGGGGUGGGGUAGGGAUAUAAGACAAUGUAAGACCCUGGGGGUGAGAUAGGGCAGGUUUAUUUGAAUUAUCAUGAUUCAAUAACUACAAUAUAUACAUAAUAUCACAGGGGUUUUUUGUUUUCAUUUGAAAAUCAAAUUUAGACUGUUCUGUGUUAAAUCAAUAAAUAAAUAAAAAGCAUUAGUCUUCCAUAUGGCUGAUAAUAUGUUUAUUGUACGGAAUGCCUCUAUUCAUAUUGUUGUGCUUCAUCUUCUAUUUCUAAACGUCUUUGACACAUGCAACGAUUUAAGAAAUGAGUAGAAUUUUAGAUGUCAUGUCUUUAUAAUAAACUGCUAUAAAUGGAAUAAAGAAUCAUUCUCUGACUUUUAUUGGGUGAUCAUAACUGUCAGCCACGUGAUCAAAUCCAUUAAAGCACAAAGAUCUUUACGACAGAUUUGAUUGCCUAGCUACCUAUUGUAAUGAUCAACCCAUUAAAAUCAAAGAACAAUUCCUUAAUACUGUACUUAUAUUAAUAUAGUUAUUAUGAUUAUGUACGUACAAUCAAAAUUAAUAAUUGUUAUAUUUUUUACAUUAUUUUAUAAUGCCAACCCCGUCUGUGCCGAUACAUUGUAGUUUAUUUUAUACUGAUCGGUUUUUUAAAUAAAUGUAGACUAUUUAGUUACACGCAGUGAAAACAACUUCUUGAUCUUGUCAGACACGCCAAUGAUAGCAAGCUGUAAAUUCUUUUAAUGAUGCUUCAUAACAAUACUUUUGUUUCAUAGGGUGUCCCGGGGCUUAAAUUUUUUGUUAACACAAUGAAAAAUCAUGUUUUAAAAAACCAUUUUCUAUGAAAUAUAAAGGAUAAAAGUUACAAAUCUCGGAAUGUUGUCCCUUUUUGACCAAUGAAAUAUAUCUAGAAUGCCUGCAACGGCCUUAAACAAGCUCUUGACCUCCUCUUCAAAAUGAUGUAAAAUUGAAUAUAGGUACCGGGUUUACUUCUUGCACCAAAAGGACAGUCUGGAAUCAUUUAGUAGAUCUUGACCUUAACGAAAUUUGACUGAAAGUUUAAUACAGUCUUCACACAUAAAGGAACUUAAAAUGAAAAAUGGUCAAAGACAAAGGUUUAAAAUAUAAAUUCACAUGCGCAACACCGUGUCCCUUUUUUCGUUUUAAUUCAUUAAAUGUUAAUUUGGUUUGAAAUUACUGAUCAAAUGUUUGACGCAGCAUUUUUUUUACAAUGCAUGCUUUGAUAUUUUUUUUUUCAAAGAUUAUUCUUGUUUGGCAAUGGUGGCAACAAAUUAUUCGCUUUAGUCUUUAUUACUUACUAUGUACAUGUAUGUUAGAAAAGAAAAAUCAAUUCUCUAGAUAAGACUUCUCAAGUAUGUGCAACUGCAAAUUCUUGGCAGAUUUCCCCCUUUUUGAAUAGUUCAACCAAUCGAUUUCUAAAGGUAAAUGUAAAUUGUUGUCUGCAAAACAUAAUUUGCUUAGUGAUUUUCCUUUAUAGGUAAUAUUAUUACGUGUAUGUUUGCUAUAUCCACAGAAAAUCAAUGGAUAGAAAAUCAAACAAUGCAAAAUUUGUUCAAAUGCCAAGCAUUUAAACUAAAAACAGAAGUUUUGAUAUCAAUAAUAAUUCAUAUCAUUAAAAACUCAGGCACCACUAUUUCGUUUUAGGCUUAGUUUUGUGCAGUGAAUGAGUUCCCGGGCAAUAAGCUUGAGUCAAAUAGACAUAAGUUAUUGAAAUAUAAAACUAUUAACAGCAAUCUCUAU
rnacentral:sRNA from 1 species